UACGGGGGGGGUAAGCGUUGUUCGGAAUUACUGGGCGUAAAGGGCUCGUAGGCGGCCAACUAAGUCAGACGUGAAAUCCCUCAGCUUAACUGGGGAAAUGCGUCUGAUACUGGAUGGCUUGGAUUUGGGAGAGGGAUGCGGAAUUCCAGGUGUAGCGGUGAAAUGCGUAGAUAUCUGGAGGAACACCGGUGGCGAAGGCGGCAUCCUGGACCAAUAUUGACGCUGAGGAGCGAAAGCCAGGGGAGCAAACGGG
rnacentral:rRNA from 1 species